GCGCCAAUAGCUCAGUUGGAUAGAGCAACUGCCUUCUAAGCAGUAGGUCCUGGGUUCGAAUCCCCGUUGGCGCGCCA
rnacentral:tRNA from 1 species